rnacentral:rRNA from 1 species
AGCUUGAAGAAUUAUCUACUUUAAGUAAAACCUGCCCAAUGAUGAACCCUAUUAAAUGGCCGCAGUACCCUGACUGUGCUAAGGUAGCAUAAUCAAUUGUCUUUUAAAUGAAGACUGGAAUGAAGGGGGCCCCGGGGGGAGACUGUUUCUCUUGUACUUCCUUUAAUUUACUUAUAAGGUGAAAAUUCCUUAACCUAAAGAAAAAAGACGAGAAGACCCUCAGAGUUUUAAUAAAACACAAUCUACUAUUAUUUCUUUUUUGUUGGGGCAACAUGGUGAUAAUUAAUAGUAACCUACUCUUAAUCAACCUCUUUUCACAAAACAUUAACCUUAUAUUGACUAAAUUACCUAAGGGAUAACAGCGUAAUUUCCAGUUUGUGAAGAUUGCGACCUCGAUGUUGGACUAGGAACUUAAUGGUUAGAAACCAACAAAGAUUGUUCUGUUCGAACAUAAUAGUACUCCU